GAAACGAAACUGAUCUGAGUCUCUGUGUCGUCUGUCUGUGAGAGAGUGAACAACCGUCCAAAUGGCUCAGCAGGGAGUUCUGCUGGACCAGGACCAGUUCUGUUGUUCUGUCUGUCUGGAUCUACUGAAGGAGCCGGUCACUAUUCCCUGUGGACACAGUUACUGUAGGAGCUGUAUUGAGAGCUGCUGGGAUCAGGAUGAUCUGAAAGGGGUCUAUAGCUGUCCUCAGUGUAGACAUACCUUCACUACAAGGCCUAUGCUGAUGAAAAAUAACAUGUUGGCUGAGCUGGUGGAGAAACUGAGGAAGACAGGACUCCAGGCUGCUCCCCCUCCUGCUCUGUGCUAUGCUGGACCUGGAGAUGUGGCGUGUGAUGUCUGCACUGGGACCAGAAAGCAGAAAGCCCUCAUGUCCUGUCUGGCGUGUCUGGCCUCUUACUGUGACACUCACCUCCAACUUCACUAUGAAUCUCCUGCUUUGAAGAAGCACAAGCUGGUCAAAGCCACGGCACGACUACAGGAGAAGAUCUGCUCUCAUCAUGACAAACUGCUGGAGGUUUACUGUCGUACCGAUCAGCAGUGUAUCUGUCUGCUGUGUGUGAUGGAUGAACAUAAAGGCCAUGAUACAGUGUCAGCUGCAGCAGAGAGGACUGAGAAACAGAGGCAGCUGGGGAUGAGUCAGCAGAAGGUCCAGCAGAGAUUCCAGGAGAGAGAGAAGAGCUGAAGGAGCUCCAACAGGCUGUGGAGUCUUUCAAGCGCUCUGCACAGUCAGCAGUGGAGGACAGUGAUCAGAUCUUUACUGAGCUGAUCCGCUCCAUUGAGAGAAGGAGCUCUGAGGUGAAGGAGCUGAUCAGAGCCCAAGAGAAGGCUCAAGUGAGUCAAGCUGAAGGACUCCUGGAGCAACUGAAGCAGGAGAUAGCUGAGCUGAGGAAGAGAAGCACUGAGCUGGAGCAGCUCUCACACACAGAGGAUCACAUCCAUUUCCUCCAGAGGUAUCAGUCUCUCUCCAGUAUCAGUGUAUCUUCAGACUUACCCAGCAUCGUUGUCCGUCCUCUUCAGUACUUUGGAGAUGUGAGUAAGACUGUGUCUGAACUGAGAGAGAAACUAGAAGACUUCCUUAAAGGAGAAUGGACCAAGAUCUCCACUACAGUGAAUAUAGUGGAUGUUGUACUGCCUCCAGAGCCCAAGACCAGAGAACAGUUGUUACAAUAUUCCUGUCAGCUCACACUGGACCCAAACACAGCACACACACUCCUCUCUCUGUCUAAAGGGAACAGAAAGGUGACCAAUAAAUGCCAAGUCCAACCAUAUCCUGACCAUCCAGACAGAUUCACCAACUGCUGGCAAGUUCUGUGUAGAGAGGGUCUGUCUGGACGCUGUUACUGGGAGGUGAAGUGGACUGGUGAUGUUUAUACAGCAGUCUCAUAUAAAGACAUCAGCAGAACAGAGACAGAUUGUGGAUUUGGACACAAUAAGAAGUCCUGGAGUUUACAUUGCUAUAGAGGUGGUUAUUGGUUCAGACACAAUAAUGUUGUGACUAAAGUAUCAGGCCCUCAGUCCUCCAGAGUAGGAGUGUACCUGGAUCACAAGGCAGGUACUCUGUCCUUCUACAGUGUCUCUGACACAAUGACCCUCCUCCACAGAGUCCAGACCACAUUCACUCAGCCCCUCUAUCCUGGGUUUUGUCUCAAUGGUACUGCUGAGCUGGUUAAACUGUAAACUGAUUUGUUAUUAAUGAAAAUUCAAUACAAUGUUUUAAUCUUGUCCAUUUCCAUGAAUCAUGAUGUCUGGUGUUGAUGUAUAUUGGUUGUCAUUCAGAACCAUUGAUAUGUUUUCUCAGUUGGUUCUCUGUCUCUAUGUAAUUCUCCUCAGUAUCAUUGAUCAGCUUGUUGGCUCGGUCCUAAUUGAUGUGUUCUCUGUCACCUGGAGCUGCAUGGAAAAUGGUCCAGGAACUAAAGGACAAUUCAGGACUAGUCAGCCCACUACAAGCUGGUAUCACUUACUUUCUACUCAACUAUAUGGUCUGGUUUCCCAGACACAGAUUAAUCCUAGUCCUGGACUAAACAGUAUGUUCAAUGUAGAUGUCCAGGAAACCGGCCCUAAAUGUGUCAUCUUUCAUCCUCCCAUACUACUCAGUCCAGCAACAUUAAACCUGUCCAGCAGGUGGUGCUGUUGACCAAACAAUAAAACCAGCAGAUAUCUUGACUUGCCACUCAGUAUAUCAGUAAUGUUCAGAAUAGUACUUUAAUAUCAUUGGAGAUUGAUGGUCUUUUUAAUCCACUAUCCAGAGUCAGGAACAGAUGAAGUUAGGUCUGCUACUGUUCAGUGAUUAAAUAUGAUUUAUGGUGAUGGGGAAAUAAUAAAAAACACUCAACUUCA